GAAUCUUGCACAAUGGGGGAAACCCUGAUGCAGCGACACCGCGUGGAGGAUGACGGAUUUCGGUCUGUAAACUCCUUUUGCCAGGAAAGACUUAGGACGGUACCUGGCGAAUAAGCUCCGGCUAACUACGGCCCAGCAGCCGCGGUAAUACGUCGGGAGCAAGCGUUGUCCGGAUUUACUGGGCGUAAAGGGCGCGUAGGCGGUCUGUUAAGUGUGGUGUGAAAUCUCCGGGCUCAACCCGGAAACUGCACCGCAUACUGGCAGACUAGAGAGAUGUAGAGGUAAGUAGAAUUCCUGGUGUAACGGUGACAUGUGUAGAUAUCAGGAGGAAUACCGAUGGCGAAGGCAGCUUACUGGACAUUUUCUGACGCUGAGGCGCGAAAGCGUGGGUAGCAAACAGG
rnacentral:rRNA from 1 species